UUUAACAAAUAUUCUGUUAUUAUUGGCACAACAGUAACAUCAAAUGCUCAAGAAAGGCUAAACCUUCAGCCUUACAUCUUCAAGUUAGAUGCAUGAUUUGUUGGUGCUAAACAUUUGAAGCUAAUUAUCAUUUUGCUGCACUAGCCUCGCCAAAGUAAAACUUUCAUGUUGUAAAUGCAGUAGCAGCCCAUGUAUGUUACCUUUUGUGGUAUUUAACUUGUUCCCAAUGUAGUUUGAUAAAUUUGUCUUUGACUAUGUGGAAAAUUUAACCGUGUAUAUUAGUGAGGUGAAGUACCAUUCACAGGGGCUGCUAUAUAUACUCACUGAUUAAUCUGGUAAUGAUGCAUUUCAUUUGCCACUAAAGAAUUAAAGAUAACUUACAGUGUAUUUUCUUAAAUGCCAAGCUAUGUGCCUCUUCAUCUUGACACCAUUGAUUUCAGGAGAGCUAAAACUACCAGAAAUUGUGCAGUGUAUCUUAUGUAUUUGUGAUAUUUUUCAGUAGCUUCUCACAUAACAUGAAAAUUGUCACGUUGCAGAGAAAAAACAAGCUCAUCAGUGCCUUACUGAUAUGUUAACUAUAUGUUGUCAUCAUUGGGCUUUUGUAGGAGUUAAAAAUUGACUUGUAUUUGUGCCACCAGUUGCUGUUUGUUUCAUUAACUAAACUGCGCAUACGUAUUGGCACAUAGAAACCUUUUAUCAUUAGAAAUGAGAGAAUUUCGAAACUAUGUAGUUUGUAUAGUGUUUAUAUGUGACAGUUUACACUAUUGUAGUGAAAUUAUAACCAGAGAUCAUUUGAAUCUGUGUGAACCGUAUGUCUCCAUUACACUGUGAAUUUUCUUCGUUUUGAUUGUUCCAAAUUAAGACCAAAGAUUUUAAUGAAUAUUUCAGUCCUGUUUGAGGCAAUGCAAUGUGCAUUUGGUAAUCAGAUGAUAAUGUAAUAUUGAAAUGUAAUAAAAACUGAAUUUUUCUCCCAUGCAGAAUCUAGUAAUUGUAUUGCUUUAUUUAUUUUUUAUAACUUUUGACCCAGAAAUGUAAAGGGACACAAAUGGGAGGGAAACUAAGUCACUGUAGGUGGGUUUGAGGCUCAUGACAAAUUAUUAUUAUUAUUUUUUUUAUUUAUUUUUUUUUAGCUCAUCCAGAAAAA